UCCACCUCGGCUUCUGGCUGCGGAAGCCUCAGGGAGGACGCCGAACCACCCCGGAGGCCGAGAAAUGGAAGUAUGAAACCCCUUCCCUAUCUGGAUGAGCUGAAGUCUCUGGGGAUUGGUUUGGGGGCCAGGACACAGCCCUUUGCCACAAGGGAUGGAGUGAGUCACCAGGUUACUAUGACUCGUGUCACCAGGCUAAAGACAAAAUGGAUACCUCUUUAAAUCACACCAUUCUACAGUGAACCAUGGUCCUUAAUCUCCAUCACAUCCUGAACAAAGACUAUGACCAACUGGACUCAGAUACUGUUGAACUGUCUACAUUGCCUGGGCUUUGACUGGUUCUGUUUGGUGAGGCUCCUGUUAAAGGGCACAUUUCCAUCUCUUGGUAUUGUCCUCCUGCUGGUCAUCAUAACAGUCUCCCUGGUGCCUUCUGUCCUCUCAAGAGUCUUAAAUGUCUGUAUGCAGCCAAACAUCAUGUGUCAAAUAGUCUCACUUUGACUUAGAACAGCAAAAACACCAAGAAUCAUUCAACUGACCUAACAUUGUGACACAUGAAUUCCAUACCAAGACCAAACAAGUCCAUUAUCAAGCUAUUGGUCACUCAAAAUUGAGAAGGCUGACCAAAAGGGGGAAAUUGUUAAAUAAACAGCAGCCCAUUGGCCUGAUGCUGUUUCCAGACUUUGAGUUCCUGUGAAACAAAUUGCAACCUAACAUAGUAUGUAAAAAAGCCCAAAACCUAAUUUAGAAAUGUUUUUAUUGUAACAGAUAACUAGGUCUCAGCCAAUCACAGCCAGCCUAAGGCAAACACCUAUCUGUAACCAAUCAAGCUAUUUCUCUACUUCCAUGUUUAGGCUAUAACAGCUCACUGCCUAUGUUGCUGAGUGGAGCUCUAUAAACCUUUCUCGGUACUGAAUGCUACCUGAUUCAUGAAUUACGUUCUGUUCAAAUAAAUGGUUAAGUUUAAUUUAUCUAAAGUUUUUUACAUUUCUGAACUUGUUCUAUGA